AGUGAAGAAAAACAGUGUAUAAAAAACCAAAAACUAUUUUCAACUCAUAUGUAUAUAUUUUAGUAUCAUUAGUCAUGAACAGUUGAAGUGAGUUGGGGCAUUGUCUCCCCAUGUUUUCAUCAACAGAGAUACAACUUCAGUUGGAUUUUGAGUCAAUAAGAAAUUUAAAACACAAUCGUUUGUCGGUCAUAUACAAGCGACAUGUAUUCACAGCUGUUUAUAUGGUAGUCACCAAAAUAUUGGAAUCAGCAGCUAUUAUUAGUUUUCUUGAUUGUGUUCUUGGUAAGAGCAGAUUCUCUGCACUUGCGGACUUCUUUUCCAAACAUGUAGUAAUGGUAACAUAAAUUAUCUGGUUGGUAAUUAUGCUUAUAGUUUGAUUUGUGCUGUUUGUGAAAUGAUUUAUGAUAUCUAAGAAUGUGUGUGUCCUUUUGCACAGUCACCAGCCAUGCAUUCAAUUCAUUCACCCAGCAAUGCAAUUUCUGCAGGUAAUAUACUCACCUCUUCUAGUGCAAGAUUGUUUGAAUACAUUAUUUGAGAUAUUUGAUGUUUGCUGAUACUGGCAUUCGAUUUCCUUAUCUGUGCUGAUUAGUUCAAUACAUAUGAGCCGUUUAUUUUGAAAGUGGCCUAAGUCCAUUUAUCUUCAAAU
rnacentral:lncRNA from 1 species